rnacentral:tRNA from 1 species
GCAGUGGUGGUUCAUAGUAGAAUUCUUGGCUUCCAUGCAGGACACCCAGGUUCGAUUCCCAGCCAAUGCA